GACGAACGCUGGCGGCGUGCUUAACACAUGCAAGUCGAACGGAAAGGCCCUGCUUGCAGGGUGCUCGAGUGGCGAACGGGUGAGUAACACGUGGGUGAUCUGCCCCUUACUUUGGGAUAAGCCUGGGAAACUGGGUCUAAUACUGGAUAGGACCAUGCUGUAGGUGGUGUGGUGGAAAGAUUAGUUUCGGUAAGGGAUGAGCUCGCGGCCUAUCAGCUUGUUGGUGGGGUAAUGGCCUACCAAGGCGUCGACGGGUAGCCGGCCUGAGAGGGUGGACGGCCACAUUGGGACUGAGAUACGGCCCAGACGCCUACGGGAGGCAGCAGUGGGGAAUAUUGCACAAUGGGAGCAAGCCUGAUGCAGCGACGCCGCGUGGGGGAUGACGGCCUUCGGGUUGUAAACUCCUUUCAGCCAUGACGAAGCCCUUGUGGUGACGGUAGUGGUAGAAGAAGCACCGGCUAACUACGUG
rnacentral:rRNA from 1 species